AACUUUCUGCAAUGUAUCUCUUGGCUCUCGCGUCGAUGAAGGACGCAGCGAAAUGCGAUAAGUAAUGUGAAUUGCAGAAUUCAGUGAAUCAUCGAAUCUUUGAACGCACCUUGCGCUCCCUGGUAUUCCUGGGAGCACGCCUGUUCGAGUGUCGCGAAAUUUCUCAAGCUUGGAUGGCUUUUUUGUCUGUCCUAAGCCUUGGUUGUUGGGCUUUGCCGUGUCCUUCAUUGGGACGGCUGGCCUUAAAAGCAUUAGCUGAUCCUUGUGUGGCACUGGUUCUACUCAGCGUGAUAACAGUCUGAUCGCUGAGGACAUCUUUUGGGAUGGCCAGUUCUCAUUUGGGUUGCUUCCAAACUUGGUUUUGCAGAUUCUUCAAUCUGUGUUCCACUUUUCAGCUUUGACCUCGAAUCAGGUGGGACUACCCGCUGAACUUAAGCAUAUCAAUAAGCGGAGGCU
rnacentral:misc_RNA from 1 species